AACGUAGGUACCGAGCGUUAUCCGGAUUUACUGGGCGUAAAGCGUGUUCAGGCGGCCUGGCAAGUCGGGCAUGAAAUCUCUCGGCUCAACCGGGAGAGGCUGUCCGAUACUGCUGGGCUUGAGGACGGUAGAGGGUGGUGGAAUUCCGCGUGUAGUGGUGAAAUGCGUAGAUAUGCGGAGGAACACCAGUGGCGAAGGCGGCCACCUGGACCGUCCCUGACGCUCAAACACGAAAGCUAGGGUAGCGAAC
rnacentral:rRNA from 1 species